GAUGAACGCUGGCGGCGUGCCUAAUACAUGCAAGUCGAGCGAACAGACGAGGAGCUUGCUCCUCUGACGUUAGCGGCGGACGGGUGAGUAACACGUGGAUAACCUACCUAUAAGACUGGGAUAACUUCGGGAAACCGGAGCUAAUACCGGAUAAUAUAUUGAACCGCAUGGUUCAAUAGUGAAAGACGGUUUUGCUGUCACUUAUAGAUGGAUCCGCGCCGCAUUAGCUAGUUGGUAAGGUAACGGCUUACCAAGGCGACGAUGCGUAGCCGACCUGAGAGGGUGAUCGGCCACACGGGAACUGAGGCACGGUCCAGACUCCUGCGGGAGGCAGCAGUAGGGAAUCUUCCGCAAUGGGCGAAAGCCUGACGGAGCAACGCCGCGUGAGUGAUGAAGGUCUUCGGAUCGUAAAACUCUGUUAUUAGGGAAGAACAAAUGUGUAAGUAACUAUGCACGUCUUGACGGUACCUAAUCAGAAAGCCACGGCUAACUACGUG
rnacentral:rRNA from 1 species